rnacentral:tRNA from 1 species
AAAAUCUUAGUAUAAAGAGUAUAGUUUAUUGUCAAUAAAUAGGUUAAAGAUUUUA